UACGUAGGGACCGAGCGUUGUCCGGAUUCAUUGGGCGUAAAGAGCUCGUAGGCGGCUUGUCACGUCGGGUGUGAAAGCCCGGGGCUUAACCCCGGGUCUGCAUUCGAUACGGGCUAGCUAGAGUGUGGUAGGGGAGAUCGGAAUUCCUGGUGUAGCGGUGAAAUGCGCAGAUAUCAGGAGGAACACCGGUGGCGAAGGCGGAUCUCUGGGCCAUUACUGACGCUGAGGAGCGAAAGCGUGGGGAGCGAACAGG
rnacentral:rRNA from 1 species